UCCGAUAUGGUGUAGUGGCUAACAUUAUCGCCUCUCAUUUUCUUGCGACUGAAGGUCUGCGCGAUAGCCCGGGGUUCGAUUCCCCGUGUCGGAA